GUUUUGCUUGCAAGUUUUACUGCGUUCCCUCCUAAACAACUAAACCCUCUAACGCUCGAGCAUUGACAAGACCAAAAUGUGCCCCUAAAUUAUCUCUAAAAAUUGAUCUCUUUACUCCAUUAUCAUACUACAGUAGUACAGUACUUCAUUUUCAAGGGUAUUAUUUUAUAUUGGUUAAUUAACCCCCAAUUAUUCAUGGUGUCUUUCUCUUGUGCUUGAGUGUAGUUUGUUUAUAAAUCGUUGCACGCAGCAGAUAUAGUGAAGCAUGAGCAAGAACAAUAGCAACAAGGACACAAGACUCUAUCUUCCUUCAGUUAGCUAUUGAUAACUUUCCAGUUUGGGGUACCACAUUGGAAAGGUGAAGGAUUAGGCCAAAGCGACAAGUAAAUAAAAAGAGGUCCUUUGUGAAACCUUGCACCGGAUUACAAUUUCCGACUGGUCGGGGGUAAGAUUAUGUACACUUAGACCUCUGUAAAUCCUGCUAUUGACUUUACUUGUUUAUUAAUUGAUAUGAGGUAAUUAUAUUUGCUCCUUGAGUUGGUCAAUUUCCCAUGAGGCCAUGACCAUGUAAUCUCCAAUUAUUUCUGCCUCCCAAACUCUCAGAUAUUGGGUGCUUGAAUUUUUUCGACUUAAGACAUAUUAAAUAAUGCCUUGGAGACUGCUGCAGAGGUAUCACCUUAAAUUGUCUCUUACUCGUGUAUUUUUAUCAAAGCUGCUUUCAACAUUCUUUUAGUUAUCAUCAAUUUCUGCUCUUAGUUCUUUUUAUUAUAGAGUUCAGCUGUUAAAAAACAACUUUGAUUUGUUAAUCACUAAACUAAAGGGUUCAGGUGACGGAAAAUCAGUUGGAACUUGGAAGAUUAUAAUAAGAAGCUUGCACUUGGCUUGUAGGAAACUCCUUUGAGAAGUUCCCUCUAAAAAUAAACGUAUGCCACUUAGUGCGGUGAGCACACGGUAUUCUUUAGUAAAAGGCGAAAGAAUAGUUCGCUCUGUGCUUGCCGCGAGGCUGCGUGGUGAUAUUAUGAACAGACUUUGUAAUAUAUGUCUGAAAGUCCUAGCUUGGAUAUGCUUUCUGAAUGCUGACUGAUGUGGGGCUGUUCUGCCUUUCCACUAUACCUCUAAUUUUUUUUGUGUAUAGCUAAGCAUUGGACCAAGAUAUACCUGAAAGCUGAUAAUGUGUUUGGAUGAGGGAAUGGAAGAGGAAAGUGAGGAAUCUAUGUUUCCUUUUUGCUGGAGAUGGGAUGAUCCUGAAACUUGAAAGAGAAAGGAAGGAAACGAGAGUGCAGGAAGUGAAGAGAUCAACUAAAGGAUGAUUGGAACCCGCUCCUUCCCUCCUCUGAUGUGAUCCCUUCCAUGACUGCUAAUAUAAGAGUGUAGGAUAUAUCUUCACUUGCUAUCUUAAACUGGUUGUUCUACAGAGACGUCCCUACAGAUCAUCUGUUGGCUGUUGCUUCCCAAUUAUGCAUAUGAGAUUCUUGGCUGUAUAUUCGAGUUUUUCUGCUCAAUAGGAAUUGGAAGUGCCUUUGGGCCAUCAGGACUAGGCCUGGUCAAUAGGCGGGUCAGUGCAGGUCACCUGAAUACUUGGACUUUUGCAGAUUAUGAGGUUGUUGGAGACCAAAUAAAUAAGUAUGUAAAACCUGGAAUUCCCACAUUGUUUAAUUAUGAUAAUAUUGCUUUAUUUAUUAGACACUAACUGCAGUGUAGCAUUGUCUCUUCGGAGACAUCUGAUAAAAUUGGAACGAUACAGAGAAGAUUAGCAUGGCCCCUGCGCAAGGAUGACACGCACAAAUCGAGAAAUGGUCCAAAUUUUUUUGCCUUUUUCUUUUGCUAUCUCUCUUAAGUUUGCUUAAGCUUUUUACCAAAAUUCCUUUUAUCAUCAUCAUUCAUAAAUAUGUCCAUCUUAUAGCACCCUUAUGUUGAAAACACUAUACAAUUUGUCCCACUUAUGUACCUCAUUUUUUUCCUUUUCACAUGGAGAUUUUCCUAUUAUUCUUAAGAAGCCAUGAGAAAGUUUUAGCUGUUGCACUUUUUUCAGUUAUAGCUGUUUGCCAAAUGAAAUGCAAUACCUUGUCAAAAGUCAUGCCUAAUAGUGAUCUUUUUCCAUUGUUUAAAAAUCAAUAACAUGAGAAAUGGCCUUAUGUUUAAGCCCUAUGAAAUUGUACUCUCUUUCACCACUCAUUGUGUGGUUUAUCUAAUGUGUUUUACUUGAAGAAAGCAUCUUUAGUCUACUAGCCUGUCGUUUAUUUUUGAGUUAUCUAAAACACGUCUGAUUAACUUCGAAUGAUACUGAUGACAUAGAAACAUGGUGGUUGUGCUUGAUGCCACUGAAAAUUUUGCUUCCUCACUUUCUGUUUCUGCUUUGCAUCAGGUUCAUUUCUGCUUAAUAUAAGGUUCUGUAAAUUGUAGAGAGUGAGACUAUUUUACUUCAGGUUCUGGUUGUUGAUCCCACAAUGAAGAGUGAAACAUAAGGUUGCAAUGACCUGUACAAUAAAAUAGAAGUAUGUGAGAUUAAGCAAUCCAUACCUUUCUCGGCCUUUUGGCUAAGAUCAAGUGUAGUAUCUGUUCUUAUCAGUUUAAUAUCUGAUACGUGGGUCAUUGACCCACAACGAUAUUAAAUUUAUUUUUAAAGGGGGAGGAUCCACCACAGUAGCUUGCUAUUGGGUUCCUUGAGCAUCGCCUAUGUGUUACACUACUGCAUUGGCCUGGUGCACCCCACUAGAUCAUUAUUCAGGAUAUUUGACACUAUUUUGUAAACUAGUAUUAAAAUUUGCACCUUUCUCUCUAUGAUGACCAUCAAAAACGGACAUUAUGUGUGUCGUUUAUGUAUUUAUAAUCAAAUGAGGACUUUUGGGCAUUGGCACCCUGAGAUUUCUUGGGCAUUUAGAAAUUACGGCUUAUGACGUUACUGGAGACUAAUAUGAUCUGAUUAUGUUGGAGUACGUGGCUUUUUUGUUUCAAGUCAAGAAUAUGCUAAACUCUAGAAGUUGCACAUUGAAAGUUGAUAAAGGUUCUGCUUCUUUACUACCAUAUGACUUGACUCGUGUCUCUUCGGAGACAUUUAAUAAAAUUGGAACGAUAUAGAGAAGAUUAGCGUGGUCCCUGCGCAAGGAUAACAUGCGCAAAUUGAGAAAUGGUCUUUCUCAAUGCUCUUAAUGAUGCUUUUUUGUAUAUGCUGGCUCUUUUUCUUCUGUUCGUCAAUCUUCAUAAGAUCUACUUCAAUCUGCAGUGUAUAAAACUCAUUUUACUGUGUAUAAUUUUUCUUAAUGUGUAAUGGUGUAUGCGGUAUUUACUGCUGGUGUACUAAGAGUAAGGUUUAGUGGAAGGAUAGGAGGCUCUUUUGAGUAAGGAGUAGAACAUAGGAUUUGAUCUGUCCUAUUGACUGGCUUGCCUCUUCUGUCAGUGGUCUAAACUCAUUUUUCAGACUCGUUACUGUGCAAAAUUGGGAUAUCCAAAGAUAAACUUGAUGCCAUAAAGAACCUUUCAAUCACUUUCUGCUUCUACAUUGUAUCAGAUAUUUCUGCUCAAUGUCUAUAUCACCAAUUCUGUAGAUUGAGACUGUAUUUCUUCAGCUUAAGACAUAUUCUGCCUCUGUUGAUCCCACAAUGAAAAGUGAAACACAAGGCUCUAAUAACCUGGUAAUAAAAAACAAGCAUGUGAGUCUGAGUAAAUCAUACCUUUCUCGGCCUUUUGGCUAAGAUCAAGUGUAGUAUCUGUUCUUAUCAGUUUAAUAUCUGAUACGUGGGUCAUUGACCCACAACGAUAUUAAAUUUAUUUUUUUAGGGGGAGGAUCUACCAAAGUAGCUUGCUAUUGGGAUCCUUGAGUAUCGCCCUUGUGUUGCACUAUUGCAUGGGCUAGGUGCACCCCCAUUAGAUCAUUAUUCAGUAUAUUUGAGACUAUCUUAUAAAAAAAUUCACAGUUCUAUAGGGAUUUCUAGAGUCUUGUGCUUUGUAGAGUUUGCACUAUGGACUAAUGGGGUCUUAAUGGAUAUGUAGUACCUCGUAUUGCUAAAAGGAUGCUGGUCUGGGAUGUAACUGAUUUACAUAAAUAGUUCUGCAUUUGUUUCCCAUGUAAUUAAAAACACUAUGUGGCCGCCAGAGUUGCAUAAAGUUAAAUUUAAUCCCUCUCUGGUAGGCAAAGACCAAAGAAUUGUCGCACUAUUUUGGGAGGUUUGUUUGGAAUAGUUACUUCUGUAAAUUCUCACUUGGUAAGGAUAGGAUAAAUAGUCAAAUGAGAAGGACUUCUGGGUUUACCACACCCUGAGAUCUUUUGGGCAUUUACAAAUUAUCAUGUUGGACAGUUGGAGUCCAUUGUAGCUGUACUGUUUCAAGUCACAAAUAAGCUAAACUCUGGAAGUUCUACCUUGAAAGUUCGUAAAGGUUCUGCUUUAGUGAUUACCCUAUGAGUUAGCUUUACUCGUGUCUCUUCGGAGACAUCUGAUAAAAUUGGAACGAUACAGAGAAGGUUAGCAUGGACCCUGCACAAGGAUGACACGCACAACUCGAGACUAGGUCCGUACUGUUUUGGCUUUUGAGUUGAAUCCUUUUCCUUCAAGUAGCUAAAUGCAGAAAGUGUAUGUGUGUUUAUCAAGCAAUGGUCUUUCUCAAUGCUCAUAAUGAUGCUUUCUUGUAUAUGUCGGCUCUUUUUCUUCUGUUCAUUAAUUUUAAUAAGAUCUACUUCAGUGUGCAAUGCAGAACACUCGUUUUGCUGUGAAAUUUUUCUUAAUAUGAAUGCAUGAAAUGCUUGACUAAGUUGUUUCUAACUCUUCCUUCUGCAAAAAUGUUGACUGCAGUCUUGUUACCUAUCAUUUGAUUACAAGUUUGCAACUGGUUGGGGGAAAGAGGAAUUGGAAACACCUUUGGGCCAUCAGGACUGAGAAGUGAUGGAAAAUCAGAUUUCACCGGUCCUGUUGAUAGCAAGACUAAAAUCAUACUUCUUGAAUGCCAGGGUUAGUACAAUGUGUUGUAAAAUCGCAUUAUGCAUUUAACUAUAUACGGUAUGUCGGUAUGUGACGAACUUACUCUUUAGCAUAUUACUGAAAUUUGAUAUACCCAAUAAAAAUGAGCACAAAAUAGUACCAUCUACGGCAUUGCUAAAGCUAUAGUCCCAGUUAAAGUGAACAAAAAGCAAAUUCAAGCUCACUUAAUUUAGAAUUCAGAAUUUGGCAAUAGAAUUGAUUAGGGGUUGCGCGAACGCAGACCCCCACUAACACAAAUUAUGACGUACACUCUUCCACUUUGGGAAGAUGUUAGGUGGGCACCCCUCCUCAAGUGCAAUGGAGGCUACCUACCUAGGCCAUGAGCCUUUAUGAUCGCCCAUCGACCCCGUCCAGGUAAGUAUGUUUACUUGUAAUCCACGACUUCAUUUUAUGCCUUUGUUGUCCUUCCUAUCUGCGUUACUUUAUUGAUGUGGGACAGGAACAAAAUCUUCUACAACAUCUUUGAACUCGGAAUUGUGGUAGGUAUUAGGCCAUCAGGUUUCGAAGUCUCUGGAGGUGACAAUGAAAUGUGUUGCAUAUGAAGUUCAGUGUAGUUGAUAUAGUAUCAUUGAUCCUCAUAUGGAAAGUAGCAUCCCCUCAUAGAUCAUCAUAUCUUGCCGUGUCUCUCAUUCCAGAAGAAUUACUUUUCAGCUUGAUGAGGCUAGGCCAUAUAAAAAAUUAACAACAAAUACCACCUUGAGCUGUUCCCUGUGAAUUAUUUAGGGAAAAGUAUUAGGGGUGUUCCAACUUUAGAAUUAUUAUUGUAUCUUACAUCUUAUAUCUUAUAUCUUAUGAAGAACCAUGUAACACAGUCGUGUCUCUAAAGAUAUAACUUGCCCUGUUUAUUUCAAAAAAGGUUAGAACUCGAGUUUUUUGUCUUGACUUUAGUUAGUUGUACAUUAUGCUCGAGUUUCUGUACUGCUCAUAUAUUAUAAAAACUUAUUAUAUUCCCUUAUCAUAUCUUAUGGACUUGCAUAUCUUAUGCCUGGUGUUAUUGUGUAGUUAAGUCUUUAAUUUUUUGACCCUUGGAUAUUCUCAAGGUUAGGUCUUUAAAGAUAAUGCUUGUCUAUAUAAGUUGCCUGGAUGCUUUGGGUGUAAAACCUGAAAUUCUCACAUUCAAAGAUUAAUAAACAACUUCUUUGUUUAUUAUGCAGAGACUAUAGCAUAAGGUUGUCUCUUCGGAGACAUCUGAUAAAAUUGGAACGAUACAGAGAAGAUUAGCAUGUCCCCUGUGCAAGGAUGACACGCACAAAUCCAGAAAUGGUCCAAAAUUUUUGACCCUUUUUACCACUUACUGCAGGAUAUCUAUGAAAAACUUACCACCUGGAACGACAUAUAGUUGUGAGAUAUACCGUAUACCAGCUUGCUAUUGCACUGAGAGAUAUCAAGUGUUUCCCAGAAUCUUUGGUUUGGGUGAUUUGACAUACAUAUAGAGAUAUUGGACAAUAAUUUGUAAGUAACUCCAUAGCUUUUAUAUAGUGCUAUUGUUUUUCUCUUUUUUAUACUUUUUCUUUUUAGGUAACAACGGAACUUGAGCUUGGUCCUAUGCCAUGGCUUAGUGACAAGUAGUAGCAGGAUUUCCCUCCCAGGUCCAUCUGACUGACUUGGUGUUUAUCCUAUGCCAUGGCUUAGUGACAAGUAGUACCAGGAUUUCCCUCAACUCUCAAGAUGCCUGUAAUAGGACUUAACCCAUGGCGUUUAUAUAAUUACUCAUCACACCCCAUUUUUCAUUUGUAUAACCCUGUAUUACAAAUAUAAAAUUUAUAGAAUGUUUUUAAAGAAAAAAUUGACAUCUAGACAGAAUCUUCAAUAUAAAAUGCUGGUUGGGGAGGUUAGUUAUAAUGUUAUAUAAGAUUAUUUACCUCCGUAACAUUGUCUCCAAAAUCGUUAAUUUUAUGCACGUUUUACAAGUUGGGAGUUAUAUGAGUUAUGAGAUAGACAUGCAAAUGUGAGGGUCAUUAUAAAAUAAUGAUCUAAUACACAUGGUUACCUCAUGUAAUUUCCAAAAAAAAUGGCUAGUCAUAAAGUUGUCACUACUUCAGAUGUUGUGAUAUGUAACUUGAUUUUAUUAGGCUGUAAAUUAAAUUGUGUUGUUUAUUAAAAUUGAUGAUCUCACAUCUUAAGUGAACUCAUAUAUUAGUGAUUAAGUGUUUCCUCCGCCCCCCUAAAGAGUAAAGAGAGGGAAAAUUAAAAUGAAUGAUUUGAACUAUGGCUGAUUUUAUAAUAAUAAUCUCAAUCAUAUAUUAUUCCAAAAUAAUCUCAAUUCUCAACUAUGAAGGUUGUCUUCUCUAAUCAAUCUAGUGACCUGAAAUUACCGAAUUAAAUGGUGAGAUAAUGAAGGUUGUUGUAUGUUUAGGUUUUCAAAUCCUUUUUAUAUAUCAUUUGUACCAGUAAUGGUUGCUUUUUUUGCGCACCCCGUUACAUAGGAGAUUUGCUACUUCUACUUUAUAAUAUAAGGCCUAUAACAAGUUUCUGUUUCCUGUUUGAUAAUUUAAGUGGUUUAGGAAAAUCCAUUAUUUUGUUUACAAUUUCUAGAUUAUCCUUAUAUUGUCCACUUAAUACCAUUUCAUGCAAUGUUCAAAAAUUAUAUUUUAGUUAUUAUAAGCCUACAUGGCUAACGUCUUGUAUUUUUGGGCUAUCUGAAAUACAUCUGGUGAGUUUGCAAUGGUUCUGGCAAAAAAACAUGAUUGUCCUACAUAUAGCUAUGGAUCAAUUAUAGUUUGGCGGUCCCAUAUUGGGAGGGUGAUGGUUAGGACGGAAGGCCAAAGCAAUGAGAAUAAAUAGUUCUGCCUAAUAAACUAAUACAACAGUUAGUGAGGGAGGGUGAUGCUCUGCAAUUCUGCAUUUAAAGCUAAUGUCAGUCUAAGAUGGUAUAAAAAGUUCAAGGACUUAACUAGUAUUUGAGCUCAGGUGAUUCCUUGGGUUUUCUCUGUGCUACAAUUUAGUAGUAGUUAAAUAAGUCAUCUCAUUCAUUAUAUGGAUUUCAAAAGUUUUCCUUUCAUAUAUCAUCAUUAAUUUUGAUUGAAAAAGCAAUAAUGAUAUUGGUGGAGUAAUGGUUGGAUCUCUUUCUUUCAUACUCGAGGUUGGUUCGAAUCUUCACGUCAACAAACUUCUUUUUUUUUUACUAUAUGAGAAAGACGUGGAUAGAAUGUUAUUGAAUGAGGGAUGGUGACACGUGACACAUAUACGUUCAUAGGAACACCUUUUAAUGUAUUAGUAUAGAUUACACAUUAGCUAGCGCUUCAUAAUAGUGCAGUAGCAGGGUUCAGAGACAGAAUUACAUAGGUCUACCAGACUUUUUGAUCUUAUUCCACUUAUUUUCUGUUUGAUCUUAUUCCAUCUGAAAGCUUUCUCUGGUUCCAGGUUGUUUAUUAUGUAUGGUAUAAUUUUCUUUUUGAUGUUAUUCAGUCUUUUUUUUCAAUAUCAAGUACAAGAUUACAUAGGUCUACUCUGUCUCUAGGCCUAAACUAAACCUUCCUCCAACCACAUAAACAUGCUCCUCUCAAAGUUUGAUCCUUGGUCAUCGUUGUGGAAGGUGAGCAUGAUUCCAAAGCUAAAGCUGAAUUGGUGGAAAUGUAGUAUGUUUAUGGUUUUUCUUAUGUAGCAGCCUUUCCUGAUUGAUGCUUUCCUGUAGACAUCUGUGUCCUUCUUAAGGAAAAAAAAUUAGGUGGAAACAUAGAAGAAUAGUAGGGCUCCUGUCUGACCUUCCAUAUAAGUUUAUUAGUAAAAAUUAUACACUAUUUUGUGUACAUUUGUUAGAGAUAUAUUAGGAUACUAAAGAUAUGAUAAAUAUCUUUAGAAUAUAUUAGUAGUUAGGAUAUUAAUUAUCUUAGAGAAAUAUUAUCUUAUGAUUUAUUUUAGAUAAGUAUUAAGAAUAAUAUAUCUUCUAGAGAUGGUUUCCGAAUAGGAGUUUCUAUGUACUUCUAUAUAUAUUGUAGUCAUCGUUCAUUAUUAAACACACCACAAUAAAAUCAUAUUGUUUUUCUCCCCUCAUAAACUUGUCAUGGUAUCAAGAGCUGGUUAGAUCUUGGGGAGAGUUUACAAAAAUUUCCCCCUACCGGUGGGUUAGAGAGUUAAACCCACCGGUGGGAUGAACGAACCACCAAAAAAAAAAAAAAAAAAAGACGAAAUUGACGAAUAUAUGAGAAUUGCGUGAGAUUUGUGAGAGUUCACAAAUUUAGAAGAUCUUACAUAUAUUUGUGUGGGAUUUGUGAGGGUUUUAUUUUGAUUUUUUUUAUAAAAAAAAAAAGGAAAAAAAAAAGAAGAAAAGAAAGAAAGUACGACAAAAAGAUUGAAGUCUGAAGACCAAGAAAACUACAAAAACCGAUUACCCCGAGUGAUUGGAGGACCGUGGCCGUGGAGGACUAGGUAGAGACCGUAGUGAUGGAGGUGUAGCACGGUGGUGGUCGUGGGGGCAGCAGCGCAGGCAGCGAGCAGUUCUCGGACCCCAGACAGCAGCUCCAACGAGUCUUCGUCCUCGCCACACAAGCAUGUUCGAGCCAACAAAGUGGUUGGACAGUAGCAGCAAACCUUGUAUAUUUCCUUGGCUCCAGUAAGACGUGGUCCUGGCCGGGAUGGUAGACAAGGAGGGGAGCAUGACAGAGGUGGACGUGGAGCAUGCAAUUAGGCAGCAGCUCUUCGACGUUGAAGUCAUCUCUAUUAUUAUCUACAGGUUUGAAAAGAACGACGAUCCUGUGUUAAAUUGAAGUGAGCGAUGAUUUUGCUCAAGAAGAAAGAAGAAAAACAACUAUGCAGGUUCGAAAAGAAAGACGUUCUCGUAUUGUUGAGAGAUUAUAUCAGCAGGUUCGAAAAGAAUGACGUUCCUGUUUGAUUGUUGAUUGAUAGGUUCGAAAACAAUGGUGUUCCUAUUUGAUUGUUGAUUAAUGGGUUCGAAAAGAAUGGCGUUCCCGUUUUGCUGAAAUAUUUGGUGAGAUCGAAAAGAAUGGCGUUCUCAUUAAGAAAAAAAAUUGCAGAUUCGAAAAGCGUCCCUGUUUGACUGGCGAGUGAUGGAUUUGAAAAGAUUGACGUUUUCAUCAUCAAGACAAAGAAAAUUACGGGUUCGAGAAGAAUGACGUUCCCGAUUUAUUGAAAUAUUUGGUGAGUUAGUUCGAAAAGAAUUGGCGUUCUCAUCAAGAAGAAGAAAAAAAUUGGUGGAUUCGAAAAGAAUGGCGUUCCCAACUAUAUAUCCAUUUAAUUUGAUUUGACUUAUUUUUUUUUUUGUUUCUCCAAUCGCAACGUUCGUAUUACUGCCGUUGCGAUUGCGGGAGGGUGUUAGAGAUAUAUUAGGAUACUAAAGAUAUGAUAAAUAUCUUUAGAAUAUAUUUGUAGUUAGGAUAUUAAUUAUCUUAGAGAAAUAUUAUCUUAUGAUUUAUUUUAGAUAAGUAUUAAGAAUAAUAUAUCUUCUAGAGAUGGUUUCCGAAUAGGAGUUUCUAUGUACUUCUAUAUAUAUUGUAGUCAUCGUUCAUUAUUAAACACACCACAAUAAAAUCAUAUUGUUUCUCUCCCCUCAUAAACUUGUCAACAUUUUAUAUUUUUACGUUUAGAUUUCAUGCAAUGUUUAUAAAGGAUAUAUCUGACCUCCUUUUUUUGAGAUAAAUCUGAUUUAAAUACUUAUAGCCUUAAUAGUCUUAUAUUAUAAACUAUUCUUGUCAUGCUCUUAAUUAUCUUAUAUUAUAUGUGAUCUCCUUUUUUCCUUCAGCCGUCCAUUUUCUAUAUAAUUCUGCCAUUUUCAGAAAAAUUGUUAAACAUAUUACAUAAAUUUUACCAGGCUCUUGAUGUGUCCUUGAGAGCCAUCAUUCUAAGAGACUGCUGCAAGUUAUUGCUAAAAUAAUGUCUAAAUGCAAACUUAUAAGCUUAUUGCUCUGAUUUUCUGUACUCAAGUUGGUGGUGGCAUUGAUUUCAGCUGUAAAAAAUUAUAUCUACUCUCUUUCUUUAUUGCUAAAAGAAGGGUUGGGUUGGGUUCGUUGAGGGAAGAAGAUAAAUUGAAAAGAAGAAAGGCUUGCAUUCCCGAGCCUUUAACUAAGAAUAUUGGUCUUUGAUGACCCAACAGAUGGAAAGCUAAUAAUAUGGAUUUCACUUGGCUUGUUGGAAGCUGAUAAUAUGAAUUUCACUUGGCUUGUUGGAAGCUCCUUAGUUCGCGUUGUAGCUUCUGCAACAGUUGAUUACUACUUAGUGUAUUGUUGCAAAGGUUUGAGAUCAAAUUGAUUAGGGGUUGCGCGGACGCAGACCCCACUAACACAAAUUAUGACGUACACUCUUCCUCAUUGGGAAGAUGUUAGGCAAGCAUCCCUCCCAAAGUGCAAUGGAGGCCACCUGCCUAGGCCAUGAGCCUUUUUGAUGGCCUAUCGACCCCGCCCAGGUAAGUAGUUUUGACAAUAUUCCAUGACUUCAAUUUAUGUCUAUGGUGCUCUUCCCAUUUCUGUUUUUCAUUGAUAUGGGACAGGACUGAAUCUCCCGGCACAUAUUUGAACUUGGAAUUGUGGUAGAGGUCAUUAUACCAUCAAGUAUCAAAGUCUGCGAUGGUGACAUUGAUGUAGCUUGCAUCUAAAGUUCUCUCCAUGUGAUAUAGGGUCACGGAUUUCUCAUAUCGUAUGCAGAAGCACCUCCUAGCUUGUCAUAUCGUGCUGUUCUCUCUUUGCAGGACAUGUUGUCAGUUUGGUCAUGCAUUUGGCACAGUAUCUAAGAGCAUUUGAAGUAUGUAAUGAAGUGAAGAAGAUGCUUUGGAGUUGAUUUAAGGCAACAUGGUCUUUAAAAAAUUUCUGUAGCUUCUUUACCAUAUGACCCUCAGAAAUGUUUCCAGUCUUUCCUGAUUAUUGACAAUGACAUAAUUAAAACUUUGGCAUCAUAGCACAGGGAACCAAAGAGACGUGGUACAUUAGAAACAGCCUUUUUGCUUUGCCAGGGUUAUAGUUGUGUUUUUUGUCAACUCGGAAAGAUUCCAUGUGACACAGUUGCGUCGUCUUCCUUUCAUCGUGGCUACAUUUAAAGGGUUCGUUGAAUUUAUUUGUACAAAUGUUUACAGACUAGAGCUUGUUGCAUAUUCUAGAGUAGAAGAGUUGUUGAUGAUUGAUAUCAUGCUUUAAUAUUUGAGCAAGGCAUGUAUUAUUCCAUUCAGUGAGCUUUGCCAAUGAGAAAUUUUUUCAAUUGGCUUGUGUGAUGGAUGGUUAAAGGCUAUUGCGGACUUGCAUAUCUUAUGCCCAGUGCAGUAACAUUCUUCAGCACUGGUAACAUUAUUCAAACAUUAGAUAAUAUCCGUGUUUUUUAGCUUUCGAUCUCUUUUCCUCGAGGCUUGGGGUGUCUCUUGCCACUUGCCAGUUCCUUUUCUUACAUUUUGUAAAAACUUAGAUAUUUGGUUGAGAAAGAACAAGACUAGUUUUGCCUUGUAAGUUAUAGGUUCU